UACAGAGGGUGCAAGCGUUGUUCGGAAUCAUUGGGCGUAAAGGGCGCGUAGGCGGCUUUAUAAGUCGGGGGUGAAAGCCUGUGGCUCAACCACAGAAUUGCCUUCGAUACUGUAGAGCUUGAGACCGGAAGAGGUAAGUGGAACUGCGAGUGUAGAGGUGAAAUUCGUAGAUAUUCGCAAGAACACCAGUGGCGAAGGCGGCUUACUGGUCCGGUUCUGACGCUGAGGCGCGAAAGCGUGGGGAGCAAACAGG
rnacentral:rRNA from 1 species